rnacentral:rRNA from 1 species
UACGUAGGCAGCGAGCGUUGUUCGGAAUUACUGGGCGUAAAGAGUGUGUAGGCGGUGCUCUAAGUUCGGUGUGAAAUCUCCUGGCUCAACUGGGAGGGUGCGCCGGAAACUGGAGUGCUUGAGCGUGGGAGAGGAAAGCGGAAUUCCUGGUGUAGCGGUGAAAUGCGUAGAUAUCAGGAGGAACACCUGUGGUGUAGACGGCUUUCUGGACUGCAACUGACGCUGAGGCGCGAAAGCUAGGGGAGCAAACAGG